GCUUGAUAUGGUUUGUCUCGAGGCUCAUCUUCAAGGAAUCCAUUCAUCUCCUUUUGCGAAGUUUCUUUGUUCCAUUGUUCGACAUCGUCAUUGUUCAUCAUUACGACGUAGUUGUCGGCUUGAUAGGAAUAGCUUGUUGCACAAUAGCACACGUCCGAACUCCAGUCACUAUUCGUGUACGUAUGUUCGAUACUCUAAAAUUAUUCUUUUACUCUCUAAAUCCUAUUGUUAUUACAUUUAGGUAUAAUAAUAAUAAUAGUAAUAGU